rnacentral:rRNA from 1 species
AACAGGAUUAGAUACCCUGGUAGUCCACGCUGUAAACGAUGUCGACUUGGAGGUUGUGCCCUUGAGGCGUGGCUUCCGGAGCUAACGCGUUAAGUCGACCGCCUGGGGAGUACGGCCGCAAGGUUAAAACUCAAAUGAAUUGACGGGGGCCCGCACAAGCGGUGGAGCAUGUGGUUUAAUUCGAUGCAACGCGAAGAACCUUACCUACUCUUGACAUCCAGAGAAUUUGCUAGAGAUAGCUUAGUGCCUUCGGGAACUCUGAGACAGGUGCUGCAUGGCUGUCGUCAGCUCGUGUUGUGAAAUGUUGGGUUAAGUCCCGCAACGAGCGCAACCCUUAUCCUUUGUUGCCAGCACGUAAUGGUGGGAGCUCAAAGGAGACUGCCGGUGAUAAACCGGAGGAAGGUGGGGAUGACGUCAAGUCAUCAUGGCCCUUACGAGUAGGGCUACACACGUGCUACAAUGGCAUAUACAAAGAGAAGCGAACUCGCGAGAGCAAGCGGACCUCAUAAAGUAUGUCGUAGUCCGGAUUGGAGUCUGCAACUCGACUCCAUGAAGUCGGAAUCGCUAGUAAUCGUAGAUCAGAAUGCUACGGUGAAUACGUUCCCGGGCCUUGUACACACCGCCCGUCACACCAUGGGAGUGGGUUGCAAAAGAAGUAGGUAGCUUAACCUUCGGGAGGGCGCUUACCACUUUGUGAUUCAUGACUGGGGUGAAGUCGUAACAAGGUAACC